rnacentral:rRNA from 1 species
AGAGAGAGACAUGCGCGCAUAUCAAUAAGCGGAGGAAAAGAAACUAACUAGGAUUCCCUUAGUAACGGCGAGUGAAGCGGGAAGAGCUCAAAUUUGAAAUCUUCAAGGUUUUACCUUGACGAAUUGUAGUUUAAAGAAGUGUUUUCUGCUGAAGUUUUGGUAAAAGUUCUUUGGAAUAGGACAUCAUAGAGGGUGAGAAUCCCGUAUUUGACCAUUAUUUUCAGCUUUGUGAUACACCUUUCAAAGAGUCGGAUUGUUUGGGAAUGCAGUCCAAAAUGGGUGGUAAAUUUCAUCUAAAGCUAAAUAUUGGCGAGAGACCGAUAGCGAACAAGUACCGUGAGGGAAAGAUGAAAAGAACUUUGAAAAGAGAGUUAAACAGUACGUGAAAUUGUCAAAAGGGAAGCGUUUGACACCAGUGUUGUUUUCUCGAAAAUCAAUUAAAAAUGGCUCGAUUUUGUAUUGCUUGAGACCUUAAAAGCUCACUGUACAUUUUUCGUGUCUUUUUUAAUGCACUUUUCGUUUAACAAGUCAACAUCAGUUUCUUUUGUUGUAAAAGGGUCAUUGGAAGGUGGCUUUCUUUUCGGAGAAAGUGUUUAUAGCCUUUGGCCUCUGCAAUCGGAGAGACUGAGGUCUGCAGCGUAGACUCUUCGGGGUUAGAUACAUUUGUGCUAAGUUAUAGCUUUUUAUAGACAACUUGUUGACUAUAAUUAGUCUUGUAGCUUACUCGCUUAUGCUAUUUUACCUACGCUUAGGAUGUUGAAGAUGUAGCACAUCAU